AUUGAAAGACAGGCGGUGCGCCUAACUCAACUUUUUUUAAAAACUGUUUUGCUACAACUGGAAGCUUUCUGCAUAGGUGUGACGUGCUGGUGAGGAUUGGUGGGUUUUAGUUCCUUUGAUGAAUUUAAUUACAGUGUAUUCAGUGCAUGAGUUGAAUUGCAAGUUUAACCCACUAAUCGGAUUUUUUUUCACUGCUAACUGUUGAUGCCGCAACACCUAAAGGAGCGACUGUAGACUACUAAUCGCACCCUGACCUUUCAGUUUCUGUCUUUCAGGAAGAGCUUCAGUCUCCAAGGGUCAAGGAGCUAAACCAACCAAACAUGACUGUGGACCAUCAGGAGUACCAAAUGGACAAUGGAUGAAAAUCCCUAGACCUGAUUAUAUCGCAGGUGCUGGAGCAUCUAUGGGCACAAACACCAAAGGUUUUAGCACAGGAAGCCAAAUGUUCCCUGGACUCGGCAAUGGAUACGGAGCAGGUAAUAUUUGCUGGCAGUAAAUGUCUUGAUCACAAGACAUUUUUUUUUGUUUGUUCUCAGCUAAAGUGAGGAUACACUUUGAUAUUUUUCCUGUGUUCACUCAGGUUACGGACAAGGAGGCUACCUUGGAGCUGGAUAUGGGAAUGGACAUCCAUUUGGAGGUGAAAUUUUAAAUGGAAACGCUUUAAAUUAAGCACAUUGUAUUAGUGUGUAAGAUAAUGAAUAGUUAGGAAAGUUUACAUCUUUAAAAAUCUGCCAUUGUAAUUUUACUGAAAUAUUGUUGUUUCUCUCUGGAAAUGUUGGGCCAUAUUUUGACUGCCAUUGUUGGAUAUUAACAUCUAACAUAGUUUAUGUUUUGCUGCAGGUUAUGCAAAUGGCUACGGUGCAGGUGUACAGCCUGACUAUGCAAGUAAGAGCAUUUUAUGACAUUUAGUUGAGAAAUUUUGUUUUGCAGCAGUUAAUUUUUGUGUAAACUGCAACAUUUCUCUGUGUUUCCAGGCCUUGGACAAGGUGUGCCUGUUCCUGAUGGCAAAUCAGGUAUGGUAAUGAGUAAUAGAUGAGGGUGGGUAGUUAGUUAUAGCUAAAUAUAAGAUAAGGGUGAAGUAUAUUAGGUAAAUAUGACACAAAAGGUAAAAAUAUUCCACUGAUGCUGAUUGAACAGGUGGCACCAGACAAAUUCCAUACAAUGGAGCUCCAGUGGUUGCUGCUGGAGUAGAUGGUAAGACCAUGUCACCAUGGGAAAAACUGAUCUAAGCACGAGUGAGCAGAAUAUCAGACAGAGAAGAAAUCUCCUUUCUCCCAUGGAGUAA
rnacentral:lncRNA from 1 species